rnacentral:tRNA from 1 species
GACUCUGUAGUUCAGUUGGUAGAACGGAUGACUGUUAAUUAUCUCGUCGCAGGUUCGAGUCCUGCCGGAGUCG